GAUGAACGCUAGCGGCAGGCUUAACACAUGCAAGUCGAGGGGUAUGCCGAUUUAUCGGCAGAGACCGGCGCACGGGUGCGUAACGCGUAUGCAAUCUACCUUUCACAGAGGGAUAGCCCAGAGAAAUUUGGAUUAAUACCUCAUAGUAUAGCAGUUUCGCAUGAAACCACUAUUAAAGUUCCAACGGUGAAAGAUGAGCAUGCGUCCCAUUAGCUAGAUGGUAAGGUAACGGCUUACCAUGGCUACGAUGGGUAGGGGUCCUGAGAGGGAGAUCCCCCACACUGGUACUGAGACACGGACCAGACUCCUACGGGAGGCAGCAGUGGGGGAAUAUUGGACAAUGGGCGAAAGCCUGAUCCAGCCAUGCCGCGUGUGUGAAGAAGGGUCCUUUCGGAUUGUAAAGCACUUUAAGUUGGGAGGAAGGGUAGUAACCUAAUACGUUGCU
rnacentral:rRNA from 1 species